rnacentral:rRNA from 1 species
ACCAGACUCCUACGGGAGGCAGCAGUGGGGGAUAUUGCACAAUGGGGGGAACCCUGAUGCAGCGACGCCGCGUGGGUGAAGAAGCGCCUCGGCGCGUAAAGCCCUGUCAGCAGGGAAGAAAAUGACGGUACCUGAAGAAGAAGCCCCGGCUAACUACGUGCCAGCAGCCGCGGUAAUACGUAGGGGGCAAGCGUUAUCCGGAUUUACUGGGUGUAAAGGGGGCGCAGACGGCGAUGCAAGCCAGGAGUGAAAGCCCGGGGCCCAACCCCGGGACUGCUCUUGGAACUGCGUGGCUGGAGUGCAGGAGGGGCAGGCGGAAUUCCUGGUGUAGCGGUGAAAUGCGUAGAUAUCAGGAGGAACACCGGUGGCGAAGGCGGCCUGCUGGACUGCAACUGACGUUGAGGCCCGAAAGCGUGGGGAGCAAACAGGAUUAGAUACCCCCGUAAG